CGGGGCUUAAUGUCUUGUAAUUGGAAUGAUGGGAAUUUAAACCUCUUCCAGAGUAUCAAUUGGAGGGCAAGUCUGGUGCCAGCAGCCGCGGUAAUUCCAGCUCCAAUAGCGUAUAUUAAAAUUGUUGCAGUUAAAAAGCUCGUAGUUGAAUUUCUGCUGCAUUUCAUUUCUCUUUCUGAGUUUGUUUUUGCGGCUUAUUUCGGUUUGAUUUUUUCUUUCCGGAUGAUUACUUUGAGAAAAUUAGAGUGUUCAAAGCGGGCCUACGCCCGAAUAUAUUAGCAUGGAAUAAUAAAAUAGGACGUGCGGUUCUAUUUUGUUGGUUAUAGAACCGCCGUAAUGAUUAAUAGGGACGAUUGGGGCCAUUAGUAUUCACAUGCUAGAGGUGAAAUUCUAGGAUUUUGUGAAGACUAACUACUGCGAAAGCAUUUGGCAAGGGCGUUUUCAUUAAUCAAGAAC
rnacentral:rRNA from 1 species